UGGGGACACACAAGAAACACGAGGGAGGGGAGCAAAAUAGCAGAAACACAAGGGAGUCAAGGAAAGGCAGAACCGAUGCCCUAACAUUUCCUGCUUUGUGGACAUCUUUCAGAGGGAAGGCCAGUUCAUGUUUUCUGCUUGUCCUGCUUGGGCGAAGACUGGACUUGGGCAGAUGACAAAGUUUUUGCCAUAUGGACCCUUGCAGACAUACGGAUGUGGAAACCAAGAAUUGGUGUGCCGCACAUCAUCUGCUGCCCACUUCCGUGAGGUUUUUCAGUGAGUCUUCAAUAUGUGAUGCCAGCCACAUUGAUGUUGAGUUUGCUGUCAGACCGCAUCCACUCUGUCAGGAGGUGUAAUCACUGGAUUUCAACUCACCAUUACACCUGGGGCUAUGCUAGGUUAGAAUGUCAACUAUUGCACACAAGUUGUAUCUCAUAACCUAAUGGAGAGAUUGCUAAUAAAUUUGCUGAGUACAAC